GAUGAACGCUAGCGGCAGGCUUAACACAUGCAAGUCGAGGGGUAACAGGAAAUAGCUUGCUAUUUUGCUGACGACCGGCGCACGGGUGCGUAACGCGUAUAGAACCUACCUUUUACAGGGGAAUAGCCCAGAGAAAUUUGGAUUAAUGCCCCAUAGUAUUAUAGAAUGGCAUCAUUUUAUAAUUAAACAUUUAUGGGUAAAAGAUGGCUAUGCGUUCUAUUAGCUAGAUGGUAAGGUAACGGCUUACCAUGGCGACGAUAGAUAGGGGUCCUGAGAGGGAGAUCCCCCACACUGGUACUGAGACACGGACCAGACUCCUACGGGAGGCAGCAGUGAGGAAUAUUGGACAAUGGAGGCAACUCUGAUCCAGCCAUGCCGCGUGCAGGAAGACGGUCCUAUGGAUUGUAAACUGCUUUUAUACAGGAAGAAACCUCUCCACGUGUGGAGAGCUGACGGUACUGUAAGAAUAAGCACCGGCUAACUCCGUGCCAGCAGCCGCGGUAAUACGGAGGGUGCAAGCGUUAUCCGGAAUCAUUGGGUUUAAAGGGUCCGUAGGCGGACUAAUAAGUCAGGGGUGAAAUCCAACAGCUUAACUGUUGAACUGCCUUUGAUACUGUUAGUCUUGAAUUAUAUGGAAGUAGAUAGAAUGUGUAGUGUAGCGGUGAAAUGCUUAGAGAUUACACAGAAUACCGAUUGCGAAGGCAGUCUACUACGUAUAUAU
rnacentral:rRNA from 1 species